rnacentral:rRNA from 1 species
UACAGAGGAGCCAAGCGUUGCCCGGAUUGACUGGGCGUAAAGCGCACGCAGGCGGACGCGCGCGUGGGGUGUGAAAUCUGGCCGCUUAACGGCCAGGCGCCAUCCCAUACGGCGCGACUGGAGUGAUGCAGAGGUCGAUGGAAUUGCCGGUGUAGUGGUGAAAUGCGUAGAGAUCGGCAGGAACACCCAGGGGGAAACCAGUCGACUGGGCAUCUACUGACGCUGAGGUGCGAGAGCGUGGGGAGCGAACCGG